rnacentral:rRNA from 1 species
UACGUAGGGGGCUAGCGUUGUCCGGAAUCAUUGGGCGUAAGGAGCGUGUAGGCGGUCCGGUAAGUCCGCUGUGAAAGUCGGGGGCUCAACCCUCGAAUGCCGGUGGAUACUGUCGGGCUAGAGUGCGGAAGAGGCGAGUGGAAUUCCUGGUGUAGCGGUGAAAUGCGCAGAUAUCAGGAGGAACACCUAUUGCGAAGGCAGCUCGCUGGGACGUAACUGACGCUGAGACGCGAAAGCGUGGGGAGCAAACAGG